AGAAAAUAUUUACCAUUUUCAGUGAUGUAAAUGAGUGGAUUGUUGUACUCUCUC
rnacentral:sRNA from 1 species